UAACGGCGAAGAACCUUACCAGGUCUUGACAUUCUUUUUGCUAACCUAAGAGAUUAGGCGUUCCUUUCGGGGACGGAAUGACAGGUGGUGCAUGGUUGUCGUCAGCUCGUGUCGUGAGAAGUUGGGUUAAGUCCCGCAACGAGCGCAACCCUUAUUGUCAGUUGCCAGCAUUUAGUUGGGCACUCUGGCGAGACUGCCGGUGACAAACCGGAGGAAGGCGGGGAUGACGUCAAAUCAUCAUGCCCCUUAUGACCUGGGCUACACACGUGCUACAAUGGGUGGUACAACGAGCAGCGAGACCGCGAGGUCAAGCGAAUCUCUAAAAGCCGUUCUCAGUUCGGAUUGUAGGCUGCAACUCGCCUACAUGAAGUUGGAAUCGCUAGUAAUCGUGGAUCAGC
rnacentral:rRNA from 1 species